AGUGAACGCUGGCGGUAGGCCUAACACAUGCCAGUCGAACGGCAGCACAGUAAUAGCUUGCUCUUACGGGUGGCGAGUGGCGGACGGGUGAGGAAUACAUCGGAAUCUACUUUUUCGUGGGGGAUAACGUAGGGAAACUUACGCUAAUACCGCAUACGACCUACGGGUGAAAGCAGGGGAUCUUCGGACCUUGCGCGAUUGAAUGAGCCGAUGUCGGAUUAGCUAGUUGGCGGGGUAAAGGCCCACCAAGGCGACGAUCCGUAGCUGGUCUGAGAGGAUGAUCAGCCACACUGGAACUGAGACACGGUCCAGACUCCUACGGGAGGCAGCAGUGGGGAAUAUUGGACAAUGGGCGCAAGCCUGAUCCAGCCAUACCGCGUGGGUGAAGAAGGCCUUCGGGUUGUAAAGCCCUUUUGUUGGGAAAGAAAAGCAGCAGGUUAAUACCCCGCUGUUCUGACGGUACCCAAAGAAUAAGCACCGGCUAACUUCGUG
rnacentral:rRNA from 1 species